GGGCAAGUGUCUGAGUGGUUUAAAGUGUUGAUUUUGAAAGUCAAUAAAGAUCUAUAAAUCUUUCGGAGGUUCAAAUCCUUCCUUGCCUU
rfam:PVC group bacterium (ex Bugula neritina AB1) isolate AB1-3 AB834_contig000056, whole genome shotgun sequence.